AUUGAACGCUGGCGGCAGGCCUAACACAUGCAAGUCGAACGAGUGGCGGACGGGUGAGUAAUGUCUGGGAAACUGCCUGAUGGAGGGGGAUAACUACUGGAAACGGUAGCUAAUACCGCAUACCAUCAGAUGUGCCCAGAUGGGAUUAGCUUGUUGGUGGGGUAACGGCUCACCAAGGCGACGAUCCCUAGCUGGUCUGAGAGGAUGACCGGCAAAACUGAAAGUGGAACACGGUCCAGAGUCCAAGGGGGGGAAGAGGGGGGGAAUAUUGAAAAAUGGGCGCAAGCCUGAUGAAGCAAUGCCGGGUGUAGGAAGAAGGCCUCGGGUUGUAAAGUACUUUCAGCGGGGAGGCGUUACCCGCAGAAGAAGCACCGGCUAACUCCGUGCCAGCAGCCGCGGUAAUAC
rnacentral:rRNA from 1 species